CAGGUAAGACCGGAGCUGUAUGGAGAUAGUAAUGCUAGGUUCUUCACUUACUGGACAACUGAUGUGUACCAAGAGACGGGGUGCUACAACCACAACUGCCGUGGGUUUGUCCAGACGACCAACAAGAUAGCCAUCGGCGCGGCUAUCACGCCACAAUCGGUGUACAACGGGAGGCAGUUUGAUAUUAAUCUGAUGAUAUGGAAGGAGCUCCAGGCCUAGGAAAUUUCAAGUUCGAAGUGGCG